GGCUCUAUAGCUCAGUGGUAGAGCACACGAUUGCAGAUCGUGUUGUCCCGUGUUCGAACCACGGUGGGGCCU
rfam:Grifola frondosa strain 9006-11 000004F, whole genome shotgun sequence.